rnacentral:rRNA from 1 species
GACGAACGCUGGCGGCGUGCUUAACACAUGCAAGUCGAACGGAAAGGCUCCAGCUUGCUGGCGUACUCGAGUGGCGAACGGGUGAGUAACACGUGGGUAAUCUGCCCUGCACUCUGGGAUAAGCCUGGGAAACUGGGUCUAAUACUGGAUAUGACCUUUCUCCUUAUGGGGUUUGGUGGAAAGUUUUUCGGUGUAGGAUGAGCCCGCGGCCUAUCAGCUUGUUGGUGGGGUGAUGGCCUACCAAGGCGACGACGGGUAGCCGGCCUGAGAGGGUGAUCGGCCACAUUGGGACUGAGAUACGGCCCAGACUCCUACGGGAGGCAGCAGUGGGGAAUAUUGCACAAUGGGCGGAAGCCUGAUGCAGCGACGCCGCGUGAGGGAUGACGGCCUUCGGGUUGUAAACCCCUUUCAGCAGGGACGAAGCGUAAGUGACGGUACCUGCAGAAGAAGCACCGGCUAACUAUGUG